rnacentral:rRNA from 1 species
GAUGAACGCUGGCGGCGUGCCUAACACAUGCAAGUCGAGCGAACAGAUAAGGAGCUUGCUCCUUUGACGUUAGCGGCGGACGGGUGAGUAACACGUGGAUAACCCACCUAUAAGACUGGGAUAAUCUCGGGAAACCGGAGCUAACACCGGAUAACCUAUUGAACCGCAUGGUUCAAUAGAGAAAUGCGGCUUUGCGGUCACUUAUAGCUGGAUCCGCGCCGUAUUAGCUAGUUGGUAAGGUAACGGCUUAUCAAGGCAACGAUACGUAGCCGACGGGCUAGGGUGGUCGGCGACCCUGGAGCUGGAACACGGACCAGGCUCCUGCGGUAGGGAGCAGUAGGGAAUCGUCCGCAGUAGGCGGGAACCUGACAGAACGGCGCGAAGUGAGUGGUAGAAAUCUUGGGAGCGUGAAACUCUGUUAUGGGGGAAAAACAAAUGUGUAAGUAGCUGUACACAUCUUGACGGUAACUGGUCAGAAAGCCACGGCUAACUACGUG